AACGAACGCUGGCGGCAUGCCUAACACAUGCAAGUCGAACGAUGCCUUCGGGCAUAGUGGCGCACGGGUGCGUAACACGUGGGAAUCUGCCCUUCGGUUCGGAAUAACUCAGGGAAACUUGAGCUAAUACCGGAUAAUGACGUAAGUCCAAAGAUUUAUCGCCGAAGGAUGAGCCCGCGUAGGAUUAGGUAGUUGGUGGGGUAAUGGCCUACCAAGCCGACGAUCCUUAGCUGGUCUGAGAGGAUGAUCAGCCACACUGGGACUGAGACACGGCCCAGACUCCUACGGGAGGCAGCAGUGGGGAAUAUUGGACAAUGGGCGAAAGCCUGAUCCAGCAAUGCCGCGUGAGUGAUGAAGGCCUUAGGGUUGUAAAGCUCUUUUACCCGGGAUGAUAAUGACAGUACCGGGAGAAUAAGCUCCGGCUAACUCCGUGCCAGCAGCCGCAGUAACAC
rnacentral:rRNA from 1 species